GGAUGAACGCUAGCGGCAGGCUUAAUACAUGCAAGUCGAGGGGCAGCAGGGGUGUAGCAAUACACUCGCUGGCGACCGGCAAACGGGUGCGGAACACGUACGCAACUUACCCAAAACUGGGGAAUAGCCCGGGGAAACCCGGAUUAAUACCUCGUAACAUAAUGGAGUGGCAUCACUUUAUUAUUAUAGCUCCGGCGGUUAUGGAUGGGCGUGCGGCUGAUUAGGUAGUUGGUGCGGGAACGGCCCACCAAGCCUGCGAUCAGUAACUGGUGUGAGAGCACGACCAGUCACACGGGCACUGAGACACGGGCCCGACUCCUACGGGA
rnacentral:rRNA from 1 species